rnacentral:rRNA from 1 species
UGAGCAACCUGCCCUUAGCUCUGGGAUAACCCCGGGAAACCGGGGCUAAUACCGGAUACGAGUCCGAGCGGCAUCACACGGACUGGAAAGUUUUUCGGCUAAGGAUGGGCUCGCGGCCUAUCAGCUUGUUGGUGGGGUAACGGCCCACAAGGCAACGACGGGUAGCUGGU